GACUGCAGGACACAUGAACAUCGACAAUUCGAACGCACAUUGCGGCCCUGGGAUAUUAUUCCAAGGGCUACGCCUGUCUGA
rnacentral:rRNA from 8 species